rnacentral:rRNA from 1 species
UACGUAGGGGGCUAGCGUUGUCCGGAUUUAUUGGGCGUAAAGAGCGUGUAGGCGGCCAGGUAGGUCUGCUGUGAAAACUCGAGGCUCAACCUCGAGACGUCGGCGGAAACCAUCUGGCUAGAGUCCGGAAGAGGAGAGUGGAAUUCCUGGUGUAGCGGUGAAAUGCGCAGAUAUCAGGAAGAACACCCGUGGCUAAGGCGGCUCUCUAGUACGGUACUGACGCCGAGACGCGAAAGCGUGGGGAGCGAACAGG